CGCUCGGUCACAGGAACAAGAUUGAUGCUUGGCUGACGAGUGGCGGACCCCUGAGUAAUGUCUGGGAAACUGCCUGAUGGAGGGGGAUAACUACUGGAAACGGUAGCUAAUACCGCAUAACGUCGCAAGACCAAAGAGGGGGACCUUCGGGCCUCUUGCCAUCGGAUGUGCCCAGAUGGGAUUAGCUAGUAGGUGGGGUAACGGCUCACCUAGGCGACGAUCCCUAGCUGGUCUGAGAGGAUGACCAGCCACACUGGAACUGAGACACGGUCCAGACUCCUACGGGAGGCAGCAGUGGGGAAUAUUGCACAAUGGGCGCAAGCCUGAUGCAGCCAUGCCGCGUGUAUGAAGAAGGCCUUCGGGUUGUAAAGUACUUUCAGCGGGGAGGAAGGCGAUAAGGUUAAUAACCUUGUCGAUUGACGUUACCCGCAGAAGAAGCACCGGCUAACUCCGUGCCAGCAGCCGCGGUAAUACGGAGGGUGCAGGCGUUAAUCGGAAUUACUGGGCGUAAAGCGCACGCAGGCGGUCUGUCAAGUCGGAUGUGAAAUCCCCGGGCUCAACCUGGGAACUGCAUUCGAAACUGGCAGGCUAGAGUCUUGUAGAGGGGGGUAGAAUUCCAGGUGUAGCGGUGAAAUGCGUAGAGAUCUGGAGGAAUACCGGUGGCGAAGGCGGCCCCCUGGACAAAGACUGACGCUCAGUGCGAAAGCGUGGGGAGCAAACAGGAUUAGAUACCCUGGUAGUCCACGCCGUAAACGAUGUCGACUUGGAGGUUGUGCCCUUGAGGCGUGGCUUCCGGAGCUAACGCGUUAAGUCGACCGCCUGGGGAGUACGGCCGCAAGGUUAAAACUCAAAUGAAUUGACGGGGGCCCGCACAAGCGGUGGAGCAUGUGGUUUAAUUCGAUGCAACGCGAAGAACCUUACCUACUCUUGACAUCCAGAGAACUUAGCAGAGAUGCUUUGGUGCCUUCGGGAACUCUGAGACAGGUGCUGCAUGGCUGUCGUCAGCUCGUGUUGUGAAAUGUUGGGUUAAGUCCCGCAACGAGCGCAACCCUUAUCCUUUGUUGCCAGCGGUCCGGCCGGGAACUCAAAGGAGACUGCCAGUGAUAAACUGGAGGAAGGUGGGGAUGACGUCAAGUCAUCAUGGCCCUUACGAGUAGGGCUACACACGUGCUACAAUGGCGCAUACAAAGAGAAGCGACCUCGCGAGAGCAAGCGGACCUCAUAAAGUGCGUCGUAGUCCGGAUUGGAGUCUGCAACUCGACUCCAUGAAGUCGGAAUCGCUAGUAAUCGUGGAUCAGAAUGCCACGGUGAAUACGUUCCCGGGCCUUGUACACAGCGCCCGUCACACCAUGGGAGUGGGUUGCAAAAGAAGUAGGUAGCUUGNCUCG
rnacentral:rRNA from 1 species